UUAGUAGACUAUUCUUUUGAGGAUUGUAUAAUUAUUUUUGGUACGUUACUAAUUAUCACUUGUUUUAACUUCAAAGUAAGUAAUUGUUAUACUUGUUUUGGUAAACUAAAACGAGAACUUAUUAAUAUUUUCGCGUUGGCUUGCCUGACAAUGGUGUUGGGCGCCAUCACGACCUAUAAUAAAAUUGGGUCGUGACGCAUCAUCUCUACUACUUUUGCUUUCUUUGCUGCCCUUUAUAGCACAAGCUCCAAAUUCACUAACAAACCCAGUUUUACACUUUCUUGUUCCCUCAUCAGCAACAGCAUCAUCAUGUUAUACUGCUAAUCCAACCUUGUCACAACCAAGGCACCUGGUAUCUCUUUGAACUUUGAAUGGAAAUUGAAGCUGUGAAUGUGGCUUUUGUAUGGAAAGUUUGUUUCUGUUGAAGUUCAAUAAAAACUGCUAUUUGUUUGAAGCUUGGUUUUCAUAUUCUGCUCGGUUUAUUUAGCUUCUUGUCCAUUUCUCCUCUUAUUUUUUUUCUUAAACGUAAUAGAUUUGUAAUAAUAAUUGCUCUAGUGAUUCAUGUUUAAGUGUUAAAAUUGUAUGAAAGUUUGAAGUGGAACCAUGGUAAUUAGCUCUUUGUUUCGCAUUU